CUGCCUCACCUGCCCUCUGCCAGGACCUGCCUCCUUCGCCCCUUACAGCACCUAACGCAGAGCCCCCUCCCAGCGAGCCGGGCUCCAGGAGCAUCAACCCGGCGCCCGCACCCCGGCCCCAGCGCCCUGCGGCCACCGUGCGCUCCGGACCCCGAAGACCCCUCCCCGGCCCGGGGCUCAGAGCCCGGCAGCGCCGGCCCGGGACUCCGCUCCAUCCCCUCCGCUCGCCCCUCCGGGGCCGGGCGCGCGGCACCGUCUCCCCUCGCAGCGCGCGCGGUGCAGGGGCCCCGGCUCCCGGAGCCCCCGUCCCCGCCGCUCCCGGCCCUGCACCCCCGCAGGCUCCUAAGGUCUGGGCGCUGCGAGGGCUCCUUCCCGCUCCUCGCGGGCGCGAGGCUCCAGCACCGCGCUCCUCUCCCGCAGCCCGCGGCCGCCGCCGCAAACCCCCCCACCUCACUCACUUCCCGGCCGGAGCUGGGGACGUCGAGAGGGUCUCGGGCGGCCGCAGCCUCCUCCGCCUCCUCCGGCCCGGCCCCGGCGGCUGAGGUGGCGGCUGCGCCCGCUCAGGCCCCGGAGCCGCCCCCGCGGCGAACGUUCUCAGGCGCCCGGCUCGCGCCGUUUCCCCGCCCAGCACGCGCAGCAAGCCCGCCCCCGGCGCGAGGGCGCGAGGGCGCGAGGGCGCAGGGCGGGGGGCGGGCACGCGCCGCCUGCGCGAGCACGCGGCCGGGGGCGGGGCUUCCGCCGCGCCGAGGAGGGGGCGGGCGAGCGGGCCGAGUUCCCUUCGAACCCCGCCCCCUGCGGCCGAGCGGGACCCGUCCCCCCCAGCUCGCCAGGCGGCUCGCAGACCUGCGAGGGAAACCUGCCCCCUUCGGGCUGGUCGCUCACCCUGGCGGCGGGCGGCCGAGGUGCGUUUCAAUUCCACAGGUAUGUGCGAGGCAGCUGGAUACUCGGCACGACGUGACUAUAAGCUUGAACAUCCAAGUCUUAAUUUCCACGGUUAAAAAUGAUCCGAGGGAGAGGUACGCAGUGGAAUCUCCAAGGUAG
rnacentral:lncRNA from 1 species